UAGCUCUGGUGUCUCUUAAAUCACGCAUAAAUCUUUUGCCUUUUGGUAAAGAUUUCUGUGGAGAGGAACAUCAAUGAGUUUGAUGUACUUUUAUGAGCUUUGCUCUGGCAAAGCU